CGAGAGGCCUUUUGGGGUAGGCGUAGGCGUAGGAGUAGCGUUUUUCUUAUGGUGAUUUAAGGUCGGCGUACGAGGCCGCUACGGCGCCGCCUUCGCUUUCCGUUCUCGCUGACGCCACCGCGGUGAUGUAAGGCUACGAGGUGGGGGGAGCACGGGGCCGAGGCUCGUUAUGAUGAUGAGGAUGUAUCGGUGGCUGGUCUGGUCCUCGGCGUGGUGUCCCCCAGUUCUUUCGUCGCCGCGGUAGGGGCCGCUACCUCCGCCUGCUCGAGGACUUCUUCUAUGCCCGCGACCUCCUUCCCGUCCGCCUCGAGUUCGCCCUCCACCCGUCCGAGUACGGCCUGGCGGCGCGGCGCCGGGCCGCUGCGCGGGAGGCGCGCGACGGCGGCGGCGGCGCCGGGAGGAGCAGCAGCGCCGCGCAGCGUCGGGCACCGUCCGACGGGCUGUCCGUGACGGUGACCUAUGACGUCAGCGACCCCGUUCGGCACGUGUAGUAGCGGGGGCUGCCCUUCGAAGACAUGACCUUGGCCAUACGACUCGUAUACAUACCGAUAAGACGUCGUCUCCGUCAACCGGCCUUACGGCAACUUAAUUAACAAGUAGGAUGACUGAAGCUACGACGUUUUGAGCAGUAGGUCUUGUAUAAAUACCCGUUCACAACAACUCCCUCCAAAGGACAAUUCUUGUUUCGUCCUCUCUCCAAAAAGUAAAGACAGGUGUUGUGGGGAAACAUGCUACUGCUACCAUCGAACCACCCGGAGUAGACAGAGAGCGAACUACAUGCCCGUGAUCUCCUCUAUAAAUCAGGGAGUCUGAGCAGCCUUAGGAUAGGUUCAUGUCGUUUCGUGGCCAAAGUACGAUUGUUGACCGGAUGUUCACCAAGUCAUUUGUUUCCAAGAGAAGUGAGGGUCGUUGGAGGAGUUAGACGAUAGUGGAGGUUCUAUCAUUGAAACCGAUGGUCGCAAUGUUCAUCUCAAGCAAGAGCCUAUUCCUGUCCAGUCUUAUCGUUGUUUGUCAUACCACCACCGACACUCCCGGUCAUAAGACUAGAGGUCCGGCUCCACCGUAGUUCACUUCUUUUGUGGGGUUCACCCCUACAUUACGUACCACGGAAACGCCGGGUUCUUUUUAGGGAACCGUUCAGCUCGUUUUGUUCAUCACUACUAGGUCCUCUUCCUUUUCAUCCCAGGAUGUUCUAAAAAGCAAGCUUCCGACUCCGUAAUAACCGUUUCUUCCCGUAUAGCACCGGAACCUUUCCCGUACUUUUACUACCCCCAAGACCUUUCUUAUUGCACUUGAGUUGUGUCAACGUCCUAUUCGUUCUCUUACUGGUCUCAGUAGUCUCCCAACGUCAAGAUCUCGGAUAGUAUUAAGGUUUGACGGUUUUGUCGCUUCUGUGAACCCGAUGCUUUAUACUCCAGAGUCCAAGGACCACCCUAAAGUUGUUCUUGUCGUGCUCAUCGUACUCGUCGUGCCCCUCAUGACUAUCGUCGCCAUAACUCUCUCAUCUAAUACUUCGUCUGACGGAUCUAAUACUCUAAGAGACCCUUCUGGAUCAUUAACCUCUUGUUCAUCCAGUUCCAACAACGCCUUGUCACAUAGUACGAAACACCAUACCGAGCCUGCACCGUCGAUUUCAUAAGAGGUUCGUCCUUAUAAGUUUUCUUUACUAUUUAUGGAAGUCUGUUCUCCAUAGUAACUACUUCUUCGAUGCUGUGGGGUUAUAUUAUGAAAAGUACCCACGUCAACGAAGCGUCCUUGCUGAAACAUAACAGUGACUUAAAAACGGUGCGCCCUCAAACAAAGCCAACGAAGUUUCAUUGUAACCGUUCGACCUAGGUUCUGCUUCUCAAUUGUACCGACAACUGUAACGUUCCCCGUACUUAAUAGAAGUGUCAAAGUAGGGUUGACAACACGUGGCACUAAACUUUAGCGGUUUGGACAACCAACUAUUCUUAACCUGACAUUUCCAACGUCUGAAACCGGAAAGUGCAGACUUUGAGCUUUGUAAAGACAGUUGUUUUUGACCUUUCCCUUGUGGCGUCACCUACCGAGGCCUCCACGAUGCCUCACUUGGAAGUUUACUUUUCAGACUACAUAAGUCGAUACCUCACCAGGACACCCUCGAACGAUGAGUCUUCUAGGGGACCCUAUGAGAGUUAUGUUACGUCCAAUAGCCUCGGCACCCAAAGUACCUAGUGUCUGACCUUUAUGGUUCGCUGCACCUAGGAGUCACCCGUAGCUACUAGCUCUCGACAACCCUUUCACUUGGCGUUGCGGCAGGAAGCAAGGCUCUUGAAGAGCUCUCCGAGGUCCCCGACGUCUUCGUCAUGUGACAAGUCCGCGUCAGUCUCGCGUUUCGCCGACCCUUUCCACGAGCUUUCUGCUCGCAGUUUCUAUCCAUCGAAGUACAAGACUACCUCCUAAUACCUCGAGGGUAGAACCCCUUGUCAAAAGGUACUAUGAAGAUAUUUCUCCUGACCGUCAUGGUCUCUCCGCCACUUACCGAAGAGUUCAACGUUGGAACUACGAAACCUCAUGCCAAACAAAACAGAGAUCUCCUGUGACCGCCGUACUGUACUCUGACGGUCAACAAAGUCCGAUCAGGCCUAAAAGUGUUGGACUCGUGUAGACUGGUACUAUGCACAAAUCUAUGCUAACCAGAUUGUCGAACUUUUCAUAGGCCAAAUUAAUCAACACUCACACUCAAAACCACCAAAAUUUCAACUC
rnacentral:rRNA from 1 species